rnacentral:rRNA from 1 species
CACGUAGGGGGCAAGCGUUGUCCGGAUUUAUUGGGCGUAAAGAGCUCGUAGGCGGCUCAGUAAGUCGGGUGUGAAACCUCCAGGCUCAACCUGGAGACGCCACCCGAUACUGCUGUGGCUUGAGUCCGGUAGGGGAGCGUGGAAUUCCUGGUGUAGCGGUGAAAUGCGCAGAUAUCAGGAGGAACACCAGCGGCGAAGGCGGCGCUCUGGGCCGGUACUGACGCUGAGGAGCGAAAGCGUGGGGAGCAAACAGG